rnacentral:misc_RNA from 1 species
GACACUAUGCACACUCUCAGCCAAGUUGAUAGUAUCCUGAUCAAAACAAAUAAGAUGCCAAUUAAAAGUAAAAAAGAAACAAUACAUGAUACUGAGAAGUGUACUGGUUGAAUGUGAAAUAAGUAAAUCAAUAAAAAGAAGUGACAAACACCCCCCCUCCCUCCCAAUCCCUCUCUCUUUUCCCCAACAACAAUCUUCCUAAAUUUGGAAUGAUAGCAGUCUACUCCCAUGCUCUUUGUAUUUGUACUUCCUAAACAUGGAAGGAUAAAACUAGUGAAGUAUGCAGCCUUUUUUAUUGAGAGGUUCUAUGGUGCUUUUUCCCAUAAAAAAAAAAAUUAAAUUUUUAUGAUGAUUGAUAAACAUCUAAGGAAUUAUUCCUUUUCCAGAAUCCCUUUUUUUAUAUAGGCGAUAGAUUGUCAAGUUAUGUCAGACCUUCUUUGCCAAAUCAUGAUAAACUUUGGCAACAUCAUUCAUUGGAUAAGACACCCUAGAUCUGCCAAAAAAACAAAUGUUUGAGAAUUUCAUUGUUGACUUGCUCUUUUUAAUGUAAAAUCAGGUAAGAGUAAGUUUGGCUUUCCCUUACCCAGGCAUUGGAAGGAUGACAUCAUCAAUGGUAUAAUUCCCAGUAGAGAUAUCUUCUGCAGUUACUGCUGCCAAAAGAUGGGUAACCAUCUUUGAACUCAGUCUUAUUAUAUUAAAUGCAUUCAGUUUAUGAGUGGCAUAUAUACAAGAUUCACACCAGAGAGCACUACCAGCAAAAUACUACUUAUUGGAUACCUUCACACAUAUGAUAGAGAAAAAUAACUGAUCCAGUGCUGAUAUUGGUACAUAUGUACAGAAAAAGAAGAAAGAAAUAUGUGAGAGCUAUAAUAUAGGACUUGA